UGUUGGGAAACAAAAGCAGUAACAACAACGAAGCGCACCGUAGCCUACUUCGUUGCUUUCAGUGAGUGAAGCGAAGAAUAAGAUUUUUAAAUCUGAAGUUCAGUUAAAUAAUUGGCGUCGCUGCGCACAAAAUGUGCUGAAGGAGCUACUGGUUCAAUUUAACCAAGAAAAUUUAUUUAAGGAACUAUCUAACGCUGGCAUAACCUACAUAAGACUGCAAUACAUAAACGAUGCGGAUAUCUCAGAUGCUGUUAAAAGUGUAGGCGAACGGGCGGAGUUCAGGGAAAAACUUUGGCUUUGGCGACAACAAAAGUAUCCGAGACCUAAAAAAAAACGAUUUCAGAUUGGACCAACAAGUUUUUGCUAGAUGAAGUGCUUCGUGAAACUUCUGAUGGUCGAUCACUUAUUUCAUUGCGUUCAGAUGACGAGAAAACACCCAGGCUAACUGAAAGUCAGCGCUGUAAACUAAUAAAUGCAAUU